GCACGUUAUGGUGGGCGACUCUAAGGAGACUGCCGGUGGACAAACCGGAGGAAGGUGGGGAUGACGUCAAGUCAUCAUGGCCCUUACGGCCUGGGCUACACACGUGCUACAAUGGUCGGUACAAAGGGUUGCCAAGCCGCGAGGUGGAGCUAAUCCCAUAAAACCGAUCGUAGUCCGGAUCGCAGUCUGCAACUCGACUGCGUGAAGUCGGAAUCGCUAGUAAUCGUGAAUCAGAAUGUCACGGUGAAUACGUUCCCGGGCCUU
rnacentral:rRNA from 1 species